rnacentral:lncRNA from 1 species
ACAUAAACUCCAAAGAGUAGAUAUUAAAUGAUGAUUUUUCACAAUGUGGUCCUUCUGCUUCUGCAGGUGAGAAUCAAACAUUUGAAUUUGAUUAGUCUUAGACUGUGGGGUCUUAAUGAAAAAAGAUGAUGACAAUGAAUGCUCAAGACUUCUGUCCACAAAUUUUUGUAUUGGUCGGUUAUAUGUACUGUACAUGGACUUACAUUGCAGGCAACCAGUUCUUGUCAGCCCCUUCAUGAAUUCUCCUUGAUUUGCUUCUACUGGACAAGGUAUAAUGUCAUAUCUGCAACUUGCAGUGUUCUUUGCAUUCUGAUGAAAUCUUCUUGAAUAUUCGAAACUUCUUGAACUACCCGUAGAUAAAUACGAUAUAUUUGUAUGGUCUGCAGAGUAAACAUAAAUGUUUAGAUGAUGGGGAUGAUAGUGGGAUCACAUUUUUCUGAUAAGUAGGGUUCCUUCAAAAGUAUAUUUUCCAAGUCUUUGCUAUGUAAGUCAAGAGUCAAGUCAGAAUGCGUGUUUUCACAG